rnacentral:rRNA from 1 species
CGUAACAAGGUAGCUGUAGGUGAACCUGCCGAUGGAUCAUUAACGUUGACCCAAAACACACCCUUGUUUUUGUCAAGCAAGACCAUCAAAAACGUGUGAGCUUAACAAGACUAACCGCAACUUUUAAAAGUUUGUGACACUUUCAACGGCUAGGAUGGGUCUCUAAGAUUAUCUGAGCAAUUGUAUAUCGGACCGUGGUUGCAACGAUGAUAAUCGAUAGGAUUCGCUUUGUUCAGGCUGAGUCCGAGAGUUAAUGAACCGGUCGGUUGCCCACAACUCAAACAUUUAAAAAUUUUUUCAAAACAAUCAAAUAAAGACUAUAAGCUAUAUCGGUGGAUCACUUGGCUCGUGGAUCGAUGAAGAACGCAGUGAAUUGCGUUAAGAAUCACGAAUUACAGAUAUUAUGAGUGACAUAUUUUCGAUUGCAUAUUGCAUCGUCAAGCCUGUGCUUGUCGAUAUAUUCGAUUCAGGGUGUGUAUUCUCACAAAAAAUUCAAUCAAAUUUUUCAAAUUACUGUUGUGUUCCCCGCGAAGCAGCACUAAAAUACAGUCCAACUUCGAAAGAAGUUGCACAACAAAAAUCUGACUGUUUUAAAGAAAGCACCAGUUGAAUGAACCAUUUACUUUUGUUUACUACGCAGUGUUUCCAAUAAUUUCUUGUUAGCAUCAUGUGGUUACAAAAUUGAAUGGGCUUUCUACCAGUCUGAUCAAAAAAGAUCCACCUGUAUCGAGUAUGACUACCUGCUGAACUUAAGCAUAUCAGUAAGCAGAGGAAAAGAAACUAACAAGGAUUUCCUUAGUAACGGCGAGUGAAA